rnacentral:rRNA from 1 species
UACGGAUGGAGCAAGCGUUACUCGGCAUUACUGGGCGUAAAGGGCGCGUAGGCGAUUUUGUAAGUCUUGUGUGAAAGCCCAAAGCCUAACUUUGGAAGUGCACAAGAUACUGCGAGAAUUGAGUUCCGGAGAGGAAGAUGGAAUUCCCGGUGUAGCGGUGAAAUGCGCAGAUAUCAGGAGGAACACCAAUGGCGAAGGCAGCUCGCUGGAACGGUACUGACGCUGAGGCGCGAAAGCGUGGGGAGCGAACAGG